CAUAUCGAGCUGCUCCCCGACGACCCAGAGCAUCGCGCGCAUCGCCGCGUCGUUCGCCGCCGUCAGGCCGUCUCCGGCCGGCGCACCGAAAGCAUCGUGACCGCCUCCUCGUCGCCGUCCUCCCUAUGGUCGUGCCUUGACCAAUCGCCACCGGAGGAGGGAGAAUCGCGGAAAGGAAGCUCAACCUGUUUUGAGUUUCAUCGGAGACUUCGCAGCCUUUUCGGCGAUUCCAACCACCAUUGGAUUUCUCCUGGUGAAUUAGAGGCUGAUUUCCAGAGGGGAUGGGUAAGAGGAAAAGCUUGGAGAUGACUUUGUUAUUAUGAGUUCGUUAGAGAAAAGCUUUCGGCAAAUUGAGGCCUGUAAUGAAUUAAGGUAUCUUGAGGUUUUGGAGUUGAUUACCAUUCCAGUAAUGGUUGUUUGAUUAAUUUGAAAUAUAUGAGGUUGCGUGUAUAUGCCUCUUGUGUAUGCAUGUUUGCUGUACUGGGCUUUGUCGACUUCUUCUCCUACAGUUAUCAAUUAAGGUAUAAUUAUAUCCUUGGAAUCAAAGUCGAUUUCUCCGGCUUUGUGUAUGGAAGUGAAUGGUAAACUAGAACUUCUUGGUCAAUGUUUCUGUCAAUUUGAUAUUGUGGGUAAUUGACAGAAGUUGGACUAUUUAUAUAUUGAAAGUUCUGGGUUUCUUUGAA